rnacentral:lncRNA from 1 species
AGGUCCUCCACAGAACGCUUCUGAGGAUCAAGACACAUGGAGAGGAACACUGAGGAGCAUGGAAGAAAUGGCAGAAGGAUUGGGCACUCAGGCAAGUGCAUAGCAGCUCACCUUGAACUGCUGGUGGUCAUACCGAUCGUGAAUAACUACGAAGCGCAGAUCAAAUCGGCGGCUGAGGUCAAAUAGGUGGUCAGUCUCUGCCUUAGUCCAUGCGUCAUCAUGAAGGUAGAGUUGGUACUCCUGCUCUGAGUACACGGGCACCUGCACCGUCUACUGGCACAAAGACAUGGGGACCGCAUUCCUUUGUGUAUGUCCAAGCAGGCUUGCCAUGUUACCACAACCCUUCCUGUUUAUUACCAACCCCAUAUCCCUACAGGAGCAGCCUGUAGGAAAGAAAGACCCUGUCUAAUUAGUCAGAGGCCCCUCCCUAUAAGGCUCUGGGUCAGUGGCCUACCUGAUUCCCUCAGGACAACUUACCAUCUUUUGGAAUGGGUCACAAGCUCCUAUCUGAUUUGUAAGCACUUCUAGGCACCCAAGGGUCAAUUCUAGAAUGACAAACCCAUCAGACAGGGGAAGGCCCAGAGCCUUGUCUGAAGCACUACUGCCACCCAGUGGUGACAGUGAAAUGUGCCGUCUCAGAGUACUUCAAUUGUUGGGCAUCUCCAGGGAAACUUAGCGCCUAUGCCCCUUCCUCUCCUGGCCCAUAUUCCUCCUGCCCGGGUGCCCUCUCAGAGUUACCAAUCUCACCACAAUUGAGUCACAGAUCAGAAAUCUAAGAAGGAGUUGGUUCUGGGCUAGAACAGGAAGUUUCUCAUGAAUUCAAAAGCUCUUGGACACUUCCACCAGAUGUCACACAUCCCCAACCUUAAUAUGCUCAACACUGCGUUCAUCCCUCUUCUUCAAACAUCCCCAAUCCACACCUCAGCCACUGUCACCAAAGCCAGCAUCAGAAACCCGUGUCUAAAGAUGGUCUAUGUUUCUGUUUUGUUGUCGACACAGCCUUGGUAAAGUGGCCUUGGCUGGUCAGCACUCUGUGCAAACCACACUGGCUCUACUUCACAGCAGUCCUCCUGCCUCAGUCUCCCAAACACUGGGAUUACAAGCACACAUCACCACACCUGACAUUGGAAGCAUCUUUCAAUCCUUCUUUUUCCUUAAUUUUGCCUCCAGAAUCCCCAUCUCUCAAUGGCCACAAGCCAUUCAGAGUAGCACAGCACUAUCCUGUUGUACUCAGGCUGCCCUGCAGUCCAUUUCCAAUCAGCUCUCUGUCUGCAAACGUCUACACCAUGCUCCCUCCGUACAGGGCAGACCUACAGUAAGAAUGGAAACAAAGCACUUUUAUGUCACAACUGUGUGUCCACUCAUGAAAUAUAAACAUGAACUUGUAUUCUCUUAAAAUCCUAAUAAUCUUUCUCAGUCAAUGCUGGACUACAACAGAAAAGAUCGUUCGCCUGUUCCUAAGAAAGAUGCUGUUCUAGAUCAACUUCUGAGAUAAAGUGCCUUCUAGAUAAUUCCUAAGUUCAAGAGCAAGGCUUGGCCAUUUCUUUCCCUCAAGUUUAUUCUUAAUUCCAUAUUCCUUCUACCAACUGAACAUCCUCAUCCUUUGACCACUCAGACAUCCUUCUGGAAAAUCUAGUUUCCCAGACUUGGCUACAUUUACCUCCUAGUAAUUUAAUCCUGUGUGUGUGUUGAGGAAGAUGUGACUAUGGAGACCAGAAGGCACUGGAUGUCCAGAAGAAGCUGGAGUUUGAGGUAGCUAUGAGCUACCCAUCUGGUUCCUGGGAACCAAGCCCCAGUCUGGAAGAGCAAUAAGCACUCUUAAUUACUGAGUCAUCUGUUUAGCCCUGUGCUGGUUUUGUUUUUAUUUAGUAGCCUAGGCUGGCCCUGACAGUAUGUAUCUGAAGAUAAUCCUGAACUCCUGAUGCUCCUGACUCCACCUCCCAAAUACUGGGACUACAAGUAUGUACCUCCAUACCAGGCUAACUAAACCUUAAGGCUAAAUAGAAGUGAACUAGUGAGGGAGAACAGGGGAUCACAAAAGGACAUAAGAUGAAAAUACUCUAAUGUGUGCGCACACCUGGCUUCAGGGAGCAGGCUGGGAAACAGUGAGCUGAGAAGAGAGUCUGCUGUGGCAGUGAACCAGCUGUUACAGGGAAUGCACCCCCUUCUGGAAGCUUAGAAUUGAGCUAGGGGUGACCCGCACAAUCCAAUGAGGCUAGUUUUAAGGAGACUAAAGGUCUUGUUUCUGGAUUUGCCACGCCCCCCCCAGCACCCACGUGUCAGCUCGCAGUCAUAAGAUUCCAGCCCCAAUGGUUCCAGCUCCUCUUCCGCCUAUACGGGCACUGCACCCGUGUGGUACACAGACACACAUAGGCAAACCCUCAUACACAUAAAAUUAUUUUAAAGUCCUGUUUCUUGUAUCUAAGACCACCUAGCAGCAGAGAAGGUGUUGGAGUGAAAGAAGAGUAGGAAACUAAACAGCCACCUUCAGCAGUGGUGGAGGUGAGAAGCCAAAAGCCCAAACAAAAGCAGCAGAGAAGGCACAGGCCUAGAGGCUGGAGUAAGAGGGAAUCCCAGAGUUGGGCAUGAAGGGCCAAGGAGGGUGCCACCCUCAGUGACUCCUGGACUCCUGUCCUGAGCAAGAGCAGAGGGAGAGUCACAGAGAGUAAGGCCCCUCAGGGAAGCAGCUUUAAAGGAAGAACAUGAACUCACUCAAUCUUACAGUCACCCAGAGCUUGCCAGAACGCAUCCAGUCCUGACAUGACUCUACUUUAAAAUCUAUGAGUGGCUCCAAGUUCUUAAGCUUGGUUGCUAAGGGCCACCUGGCAUGGUCACUGUUGAUCAACAGAGCCACACCUCCCUCCCAUGACCCUACAUGGAGCGUUAGGCUCUAUCGGUAUACGGGAAUGCCCAGUGCAGCCACUACACGUGAACCUUUUUAAGUUACACUUUAAAUUGCACUUUGUUUCAGGUGUGUAGGGAUGGGAUAUUUGGAGGUCAAAGGACAACAUUUCAGAGUCUGUUCUCUCCUUCCACCACGUGGGUCCCAGGGAUCAACCUUGGCCGUAGGCCUGUCUGCAGGAGCCUCUGGGCCUUAUAUUCUUUUUAUAUUUUUCUCCGCCAUGUUCUAUGUGUAUGAAGGAAAAAGAAUCACUGUACCUAGUACCAUCAUCAAGGAAACUCCCAUAACGUUCCAGCCUUCCGAGUAGUUUAUCUCCUACUGACUGUAACUGUACCCAUAUUCCCCUGUCUCUCAAUAACAUGACGUUUUUAAGG